GAUGAACGCUGGCGGCGUGCCUAAUACAUGCAAGUCGAGCGAAUGGAUUAAGAGCUUGCUCUUAUGAAGUUAGCGGCGGUCGGGUGAGUAACACGUGGGUAACCUGCCCAUAAGACUGGGAUGACUCCGGGAAACCGGGGCUAAUACCGGAUAAUAUUUUGAACUGCAUGGUUCAAAAUUGAAAGGCGGCUUCGGCUGUCACUUAUGGAUGGACCCGCGUCGCAUUAGCUAGUUGGUGAGGUAACGGCUCACCAAGGCAACUAUGCGUAGACGACCUGAGAGGGUGAUCGGCCACACUGGGACUGAGACACGGCCCAGAAUCCUACGGGAGGCAGCAGUAGGGAAUCUUCCGCAAUGGACGAAAGUCUGACGGAGCAACGCCGCGUGAGUGAUGAAGGCUUUCGGGUCGUAAAACUCUGUUGUUAGGGAAGAACAAGUGCUAGUUGAAUAAGCUGGCACCUUGACGGUACCUAACCAGAAAGCCACGGCUAACUACGUGCCAGCCGCCGCGGUAA
rnacentral:rRNA from 1 species